CGGGAGGCCCGGGUUCGUUUCCCGGCCAAUG
rnacentral:piRNA from 6 species